CAACCGACCAUUGUUUCAAAAUCAUAGGCCUAUUAGCAAUUGAAUAUGGUCCUCCACACAGUAUUUCUUUGGCAUCUUCAAGGGACUGAAAUUUAGCUAUAUAGUAGCCCUCAUCAUGGUAAAACAAUUCUGGCUCAGGCACAUGAGACCAGUGUAUGCUAAUAAAUCUAUUCAUAGCAUUGUACCCUGGUCCAUUGCCUAGAACAAAAAUAACUAGGGCACAUUUCCAUUUUCCUUCUUCCUCCUCCACCUCUCCCUUCACCAGCUGACCAACUGGUUUACCA
rnacentral:lncRNA from 1 species